rfam:Cucumis melo, WGS project CAJI01000000 data, contig: 17214
AUUUUAACGGGAUAUUGGUGCGGUUCAAUAAAAAGGUAAUACUCAAAAUAAGCGUUGGGUUUUGCUUUUUGAUUGAGCCGUGCCAAUAUCACGUGUCAACGA